rnacentral:sRNA from 1 species
CACUAGCCCAGAUAGUAGUGGAAAUCCUUUUUCUUUUUUUUUAAAAGAAAAAGAUUGUAACGGAUAGCUGGAAAGAGC